rnacentral:rRNA from 1 species
CCGGCGACCGGCGCACGGGUGAGUAACACGUAUGCAACCUGCCCUCCGCAGGGGGAUAACCCGGAGAAAUCCGGACUAAUACCGCGUGGUACAUCUGUGGGGCAUCCCACGGGUGUUAAAAGGAAGCGAUUCCGGCGGAGGAUGGGCAUGCGGCGCAUUAGCUAGUUGGCGGGGUAACGGCCCACCAAGGCGACGAUGCGUAGGGGUUCAGAGAGGAAGGUCCCCCACACUGGUACUGAGACACGGACCAGACUCCUACGGGAGGCAGCAG